rnacentral:tRNA from 1 species
GCCCAUGUGGCUCAGUUGGUAGAGCAUGGUGUUUGCAACGCCAGGGUUGUGGGUUCGAUUCCCACGGGGGACC